rnacentral:rRNA from 1 species
AACCGGGGGAACUGAAACAUCUAAGUACCCCGAGGAAAAGAAAUCAACCGAGAUUCCCCCAGUAGCGGCGAGCGAACGGGGAGCAGCCCAGAGUCUGAAUCAGCAUGUGUGGUAGUGGAACGGUCUGGAAAGUCCGACGGUACAGGGUGAUAGUCCCGUACACAAAAGUGCAUGUGUUGUGAACUCGAAGAGUAGGGCGGGACACGUGGUAUCCUGUCUGAAUAUGGGGGGACCAUCCUCCAAGGCUAAAUACUCCUGACUGACCGAUAGUGAACCAGUACCGUGAGGGAAAGGCGAAAAGAACCCCGGCGAGGGGAGUGAAAAAGAACCUGAAACCGUGUACGUACAAGCAGUGGGAGCCUCUUUAUGGGGUGACUGCGUACCUUUUGUAUAAUGGGUCAGCGACUUAUAUUCUGUAGCAAGGUUAACCGAAUAGGGGAGCCGAAGGGAAACCGAGUCUUAACUGGGCGUUAAGUUGCAGGGUAUAGACCCGAAACCCGGUGAUCUAGCCAUGGGCAGGUUGAAGGUUGGGUAACACUAACUGGAGGACCGAACCGACUAAUGUUGAAAAAUUAGCGGAUGACUUGUGGCUGGGGGUGAAAGGCCAAUCAAACCGGGAGAUAGCUGGUUCUCCCCGAAAGCUAUUUAGGUAGCGCCUCGUGAAUUCAUCUUCGGGGGUAGAGCACUGUUUCGGCUAGGGGGUCAUCCCGACUUACCAACCCGAUGCAAACUGCGAAUACCGAAGAAUGUUAUCACGGGAGACACACGGCGGGUGCUAACGUCCGUCGUGAAGAGGGAAACAACCCAGACCGCCAGCUAAGGUCCCAAAGUCAUGGUUAAGUGGGAAACGAUGUGGGAAGGCACAGACAGCCAGGAUGUUGGCUUAGAAGCAGCCAUCAUUUAAAGAAAGCGUAAUAGCUCACUGGUCGAGUCGGCCUGCGCGGAAGAUGUAACGGGGCUAAAC